AGUGAAUAGAUACCCAGGUAGUCCACGCCCUAAACGAUGUCGACUGGUUGUUGGGGGUUUGACACUCUCAGUAAACGAAAGCUAAACGCGUGAAGUCGACCGCCUGGGGAGUACGGCCGCAAGGUUAAAACUCAAAGGAAUUGACGGGGACCCGCACAAGCGGUGGAUUAUGUGGAUUAAUUCGAUGCAACGCGAAAAACCUUACCUACCCUUGACAUGUCCUGAAUCCUGGAGAGAUCCGGGGGUGCCCGAAAGGGAACGGGAACACAGGUGCUGCAUGGCUGUCGUCAGCUCGUGUCGUGAGAUGUUGGGUUAAGUCCCGCAACGAGCGCAACCCUUGUCAUUAGUUGCUACCGCAAGGAGCACUCUAAUGAGACUGCCGGUGACAAACCGGAGGAAGGUGGGGAUGACGUCAAGUCCUCAUGGCCCUUAUGGGUAGGGCUUCACACGUAAUACAAUGGUCGGUACAGAGGGUUGCCAAGCCGCGAGGCGGAGCCAAUCCCAGAAACGCCGAUCGUAGUCCGGAUCGCAGUCUGCAACUCGACUG
rnacentral:rRNA from 1 species